CACCUCCGACCGAGUUGUGACGUUUGGAAGGUAAAAUUGCUAGUGGAGAAAUUCUAUAUCCUUAUUCGCACGACUCGCCUGCUAAGGAAUAUUUGUCAUAGUAACGAGGAUUACGACUGGACGUACGAGGCAUUUCCCUACCAGUAGCACUCUAUCACCCACUUGUGUGACAUCUUGUAAUAGUCUUUCCUUUUUGUAAAACUGGUUUUAGUCUGUGUCUGGUUCACUCUAGACAUUUUCUUGAAUGUUGUUAAUUAAUUCUAAACUCUGAUGUUAUUCAUGAAUAUUUUCUUCUAAUCAUUGCUCUUGUAAUCAAUUAAUGGCUUUCGUCACCUUGGGUGUCGGCCAGCACACGUGUCUAUCCUGAUAUUCGAAAGAAUAUCAGGGUCGGGGCGUGUCAGAUUGGUAUCAGAGCAUGGUUAGGGUUUCUUUCCACCAAUUUGGUAAAUUUCAGUCUUUCUAAAUAUUGUUGU